rnacentral:lncRNA from 1 species
GAUGAUCGGGUGUAGACGGUGGUCGUUGCAAUGGUAUUGUAUUCUAUUUAUACUAAUUCUAGUUUAAGACUAACCGUAGUUAGUUUCACUAACAACUAACUACUCUUAUUAUAUGUUAUUCCAAUACCAUCCAAAAGCAUCGAUCAAUUCCAUCGAUUCUAGAGCGUGAUUCACGGACCAAUCGUCGAUUUACUCACUAAAUCGUUGAUUCCUUCUCGGAAGACUUGAUGUAAAACGCGCGUCGUGGAUCUUAGAGUCUCUGGCACGAGAAGAUAGCCGCUCGUACCACCGGGAGCACUGGUAGGACUUUCUGUUCUUUAUCAAGUAUCACACUCAGAUUUGUUCC